AUCCACCCAAGACCCGGUUCCUCGAUUCCCAUCGUUACGACCGAGGAGAAAAGAGAGUAAAUUUUCCUAUUAUAGCCUUCUCUCGCACCUUCCCCGCUUCCCACCAGCCGUCUCCACUGUCCUCACCGUCCCCAUCCUCAUCCAUGGCGAAAUCUUCGCCCCCAGCCUCGUGAAGAUCUAGCACGUCCGCCAUCUCGCCUUCGAUCGAGAUCUCGUCUGUGCCGCUCAGACACUAGGUACCUCGGGAAACUGUCGCAGAGGGGAAAGGUCGCCAGUCAAGCUGACCAAUCAAAGGUUAACUCUAAAUCCCUCCCUCUGCACGGUAAAAACACGCAAAUUGGGGCGGGCCUAGUGAGGAAAGAUACCGGAAGUGUUUCUGUGGCCAUCUUGAGCAGGUCGCAAGCUAAAUCCUGCCAUCUUAGGAGGUACAGACUACAGGGGGCCGUGGCUUCCUCUUAACCGCGGCAGCUGCUGAUAAACACUGUACUAUUAACAGUGAGGCCCGGCGUAAUUUCCUUAUUAGAGGGCUUCUUUACGUCUCUUCAUCCCAAACUGGGAAAUGAUGGAGUCUCACUCUGUCGCCCAGGCUGGAGUACAGUGGCGCAAUCUCGGCUCACUACAAACUCCGUCUCCCGGGUUCAAGCCAUUCUCCUGCCUCAGCCUCCCAAGCAGCUGGGACUACAGGCGCCCCCCACCAUGCCCGGCUAAUUUUUUUUUAUUUUUCAUAGAGACGGGGUUU
rnacentral:antisense_RNA from 1 species